CACGUAGUUAGCCGUGGCUUUCUUAUAGAGUACCGUCACUUGGAUAUCAUUCCCUAUAUCCACCGUUCUUCCUCUAUGACAGAAGUUUACAUAACGAAUUACUUCUUCCUUCACGCGGCGUUGCUCGGUCAGGGUUUCCCCCAUUGCCGAAAAUUCCCUACUGCUGCCUCCCGUAGGAGUCUGGGCCGUGUCUCAGUCCCAGUGUGGCCGGUCACCCUCUCAGGUCGGCUACGCAUCGUCGCCUUGGUAGGCCGUUACCCUACCAACCAGCUAAUGCGCCAUAAGUCCAUCAUCUACCAGUCCCGUAGCACUUUUCAUAUAGAGUUCAUGCGAUCUCUACACCUAUGCGGUCUUAGCUGACGUUUCCAUCAGUUAUCCCCCUGUAGAUGCCAGGUUACUUAUGUAUUACUCACCCGUUCGCCACUCUUCACCGAAGUGAAGCGUUCGACUUGCAUGUAUUAGGCACGCCGCCAGCGUUCAUCCUGAGCCACGGAUCAAAC
rnacentral:rRNA from 1 species